rnacentral:rRNA from 1 species
UUGCAUAUCAUUAAGCGGAGGAAAGGAAACCAACUGGGAUUGCCUUAGUAACGGCGAGUGAAGCGGCAAAAGCUCAAAUAUGAAAUAUGGUACCUUUGGUGCCCGAGUUGUAAUUUGGAGAGUACCACUUUGGGACUGUACUUUGCGUAUGUUCCUUGGAACAGGACGUCCUGGAGGUUGAGAAUCCCGUGAGGCGAGGGUGUCAGUUAUUUGUAAAGGGUGCUAGAAGAGUUGAGUUGUUUGGGAAUGCAGCUAUAAGUGGGUGGUAAAUUCCAUCUAAAGCUAAAUACAGGCGAGAGACCGAUAGGGAACAAGUACAGUGAUGGAAAGAUGAAAAGAACUUUGAAAAGAGAGUGAAAAAGUACGAGAAAUAGUUGAAAGGGAAGGGCAUUUGAUCAGACAGGUUGUUUUGCGCCCCUUGCCUCUUGUGGGCUUGGGACUCUGGCAGCUCACUGGGCCAGCAUGGGUUGUGGCGGCCGGAAAAAACCUAAGGAAUGUGGCUCUGCGCCUCGGUGUAGAGUGUUAGAGCCCUGGGGAAUACCGCCAGCCGGGACGCGACGACUGCGAUACUUGUUAUCUAGGAUGCUGGCAUAAUGGUUAUAUGCCGCCCGUCUUGAAACACGGACCA